rnacentral:rRNA from 1 species
AGAGUUUGAUCCUGGCUCAGGAUGAACGCUAGCUACAGGCUUAACACAUGCAAGUCGAGGGGCAGCAUGGUCUUAGCUUGCUAAGGCCGAUGGCGACCGGCGCACGGGUGAGUAACGCGUAUCCAACCUGCCUUACACUCUUGGACAGCCUUCUGAAAGGGAGAUUAAUACAAGAUGUUAUCAUGAGUAAGCAUUUUCGCAUGAUUAAAGGUUUACCGGUGUAAGAUGGGGAUGCGUUCCAUUAGAUAGUAGGCGGGGUAACGGCCCACCUAGUCUUCGAUGGAUAGGGGUUCUGAGAGGAAGGUCCCCCACAUUGGAACUGAGACACGGUCCAAACUCCUACGGGAGGCAGCAGUGAGGAAUAUUGGUCAAUGGACGAGAGUCUGAACCAGCCAAGUAGCGUGAAGGAUGAAGGUUCUAUGGAUUGUAAACUUCUUUUAUACGGGAAUAAACGAAUCCACGCGUGGAUUUUUGCAUGUACCGUAUGAAUAAGGAUCGGCUAACUCCGUGCCAGCAGCCGCGGUAAUACGGAGGAUCCGAGCGUUAUCCGGAUUUAUUGGGUUUAAAGGGAGCGUAGAUGGGUUGUUAAGUCAGUUGUGAAAGUUUGCGGCUCAACCGUAAAAUUGCAAUUGAUACUGGCAGUCUUGAGUACAGUUGAGGUAGGCGGAAUUCGUGGUGUAGCGGUGAAAUGCUUAGAUAUCACGAAGAACUCCGAUUGCGAAGGCAGCUUACUAACCUGUAACUGACAUUGAUGCUCGAAAGUGUGGGUAUCAAACAGGAUUAGAUACCCUGGUAGUCCACACGGUAAACGAUGAAUACUCGCUGUAGGCGAUAUACAGUCUGCGGCCAAGCGAAAGCAUUAAGUAUUCCACCUGGGGAGUACGCCGGCAACGGUGAAACUCAAAGGAAUUGACGGGGGCCCGCACAAGCGGAGGAACAUGUGGUUUAAUUCGAUGAUACGCGAGGAACCUUACCCGGGCUUAAAUUGCAACCGAAUAUGGCGGAAACGCUAUAGCUAGCAAUAGCGGUUGUGAAGGUGCUGCAUGGUUGUCGUCAGCUCGUGCCGUGAGGUGUCGGCUUAAGUGCCAUAACGAGCGCAACCCUUGCCGAUAGUUACUAACAGGUCAUGCUGAGGACUCUGUCGGGACUGCCAUCGUAAGAUGUGAGGAAGGUGGGGAUGACGUCAAAUCAGCACGGCCCUUACGUCCGGGGCUACACACGUGUUACAAUGGGGGGUACAGAGGGCUGCUACCACGCAAGUGGAUGCCAAUCCCAAAAACCUCUCUCAGUUCGGAUUGAAGUCUGCAACCCGACUUCAUGAAGCUGGAUUCGCUAGUAAUCGCGCAUCAGCCACGGCGCGGUGAAUACGUUCCCGGGCCUUGUAUACACCGCCCGUCAAGCCAUGGGAGCCGGGGGUACCUGAAGUGCGUAACCGCAAGGAGCGCCCUAGGGUAAAACUGGUGACUGGGGCUAAGUCGUAACAAGGUAGCCG